GGCUAUUAUAAUAAAAUCUGAUUAAAUUACACAAUACAAUACUAAAUGAUUUCAACUGAAUUACGAGAUGUAAUGCAUUAUAUUUUUAUUAACACAGAACUACAAGCAAAAUGAACAUUUACAUGGACAUUUAUAGAGCUUUUUAAAAUACACAACAAUACAGAACAGCUUUAAACAGAGAUACUGUAGGAAACUUUCAUUUCCCAAAUACUUUUGUGAUAGUCCUUCUGGCUAUACAGUGUGAAGAUCUGAAGGAAAAUAUCUUCAUAGCUGUGUGAACAAUGUGGAAUUAACUGUAAGGUUAAAUAUUUUGAGAGAAAGGUUUAUUUUUUUAGGUCCAUCCUGGAUUAACCAACUAGACUCAAAUAGAUGCAGUGUCUUUUGCUGUAUGUAAAGUCAAAUCUGUAAUUUGAAGUGAUUCAUAUUGUAUGUGCAGUCAUUUUUUGCUAUCUUGAGGCCUAGAUGAUGCAGUCAGAAGGACUAUCACAAAAGUAUUUGGGAAAUGAAAGUUUCCUACAGUAUCUCUGUUUAAAGCUGUUCUGUAUUGUUGUGUAUUUUAAAAAGCUCUAUAAAUGUCCAUGUAAAUGUUCAUUUUGCUUGUAGUUCUGUGUUAAUAAAAAUAUAAUGCAUUA